GAUGAACGCUGGCGGCGUGCCUAACACAUGCAAGUCGAGCGAACAGACGAGGAGCUUGUUCCUUUGACGUUAGCGGCGGACGGGUGAGUAACACGUGGAUAACCUACUUAUAUGUCUGGGAUAACCUCGGGAAACCGGAGCUAAUACCGGAUAAUAUAUUGAACCGCAUGGUUCAAUGGUGAAUGACGGCUUUGCUGUCUCUUAUAGCGGGAUCCGCGCUGCUUUAGCUGGUUGGUAAGGUACCGGCUUACCAAGGCGACGAUGCGUAGCCGAACUGAGAGGGUGGUCGGCCACACUGGAACUGAGACACGGUCCAGACUCCUACGGGAGGCAGCAGUAGGGAAUCGUACGCAAUGGGCGAGAGCCUGACAGAGCAGCGCCGCGUGUGUGAUGAAGGUCUUCGGAUCGUAAAGCUCUGUUAUUGGGGAAGAACAAAUGUGUAAUUAGCUGUGCACGUCUUGACGGUACCUAGUCAAAAAGCCACGGCUAACUACGUG
rnacentral:rRNA from 1 species